GCUUCAGGCUGCGGCUCCUGCUUCUCGCCCCCAGCUCCUCACCAGCAGCUGGGACACAGAACUCGUCCCUGGCUCUGCUGCCUGCCUUGGUGCUGCCUGGAAGAGAGGGGAGCGCUGCUCCAGCAGGGACGGAGAUGGGCACAGCCUGACCACUGCUUGCGUGCAGCCCCAAGGGUGCUGACCCUUCCAGCCUGGCCUCCUACCUGCGGGGAAGGCGCUAUGGAGGGGCCGGAGCCGGGUGUAGCGCUCCAGGUUGUAGUCCUUGAAGAGGACAGCCCAGAAGUCACGGACGGCGGCGGUGUCGCGGCCCAGGAGCCAGGUGAGCAGCGCGUGGAACGCACGGUGGGAGCCCUCCCGCUCCGUCUGGCUCAGUGUCUCCUGCCGAUGCCACCACCAACCGUGGACACACACCCAAGUGCCACCAGCCAGCCCCCGUCCUCACAGUGUGGCCAGGAGCACGGUCUCCCCCCACGGCCUCACCUUGAAGAUGUGCUCAGGGACGAUGUCAUGGUCAGCAAGGCCGUGCAGCAGCGGGAAGACAUCAUCCACCGCCAUGGCGAUCUCCGUGCGGUGCAGUUUCAGCAGGUGCCGCAGGUCUCUGUCCACUCCCAGCUUGGCCAUGCUGCUGCAGCCCGGCAGACAGCCCUCACGCUCCCCUUUAAUGUAUGCCCCGACUGCUGGAAACUCAUCAGGUUCCUGCAGCCCC
rnacentral:lncRNA from 1 species